UCAGCGUCGACCGAGUCACUCCCGACCACUUUGACGAUUUCUUCUUUCUCGACGAGGACAAGAUCACGGCCCUGGAAGAUCUGCCACUGUUGACGGUCCAGGUGAGUACCACCGGCUACACAGAAGAAAGAACAAGCUUGAGAAAACCAUUGCAAUUCUCAGGUAACUCACUUACUUGGCGACGAUGGCUACGCGAUUGGUAUGUUGAUCCAUCACACCUUGGCCGACGCUAUUGCCGGUAUGACGUUCCUCCUCAACUUUGCUUCCGUCAACCGAGGUGACGGCCUCUAC
rnacentral:lncRNA from 1 species